rnacentral:rRNA from 1 species
GAUGAACGCUGGCGGCGUGCCUAACACAUGCAAGUCGAACGGAGAUUACGGACGGAAGUUUUCGGAUGGAAGUUUGUAAUUCUUAGUGGCGGACGGGUGAGUAACGCGUGGGCAACCUGCCCUAUACAGGGGGAUAGCAGCUGGAAACGGCUGGUAAGACCGCAUAAGUCGGCGAGACCGCAUGGUUUUGUCGGGAAAUGAGCAAUCAGGUAUAGGAUGGGCCCGCGUCCGAUUAGCCAGUUGGCAGGGUAAAAGCCUACCAAAGCAACGAUCGGUAGCCGGACUGAGAGGUCGGACGGCCACAUUGGGACUGAGACACGGCCCAAACUCCUACGGGAGGCAGCAGUGGGGGAUAUUGCACAAUGGAGGAAACUCUGAUGCAGCGACGCCGCGUGAGUGAAGAAGUAUUUCGGUAUGUAAAGCUCUAUCAGCAGGGAAGA